CCGAUUGCGCGGACAUCUCAUCGUCUGACCAUUCGAUAACCGAUGAGAUAUUCACGUUAUCGAGA
rnacentral:pre_miRNA from 1 species